rnacentral:rRNA from 1 species
CCUACGGGGCGCAGCAGUGGGGAAUAUUGGACAAUGGGCGAAAGCCUGAUCCAGCCAUGCCGCGUGUGUGAAGAAGGCCUUCGGGUUGUAAAGCACUUUCAGUGGGGAAGAAAGCCUUGGGGCUAAUACCCUCGAGGAAGGACAUCACCCACAGAAGAAGCACCGGCUAACUCCGUGCCAGCAGCCGCGGUAAUACGGAGGGUGCGAGCGUUAAUCGGAAUUACUGGGCGUAAAGCGCGCGUAGGCGGUCUGAUAAGCCGGUUGUGAAAGCCCCGGGCUCAACCUGGGAACGGCAUCCGGAACUGUCAGGCUAGAGUGCAGUAGAGGAAGGUAGAAUUCCCGGUGUAGCGGUGAAAUGCGUAGAGAUCGGGAGGAAUACCAGUGGCGAAGGCGGCCUUCUGGACUGACACUGACGCUGAGGUGCGAAAGCGUGGGUAGCAAACAGGAUUAGAUACCCCGGUAGUC